CCGAAUGAAACGAGGCUUAAUUGAACCAAAAAGCGCAUCCACUUGAUGUUUAAAACAGUUUUUUGGUUGUUAAGUUCCAUUUUAUUUGUAG